CCCAGUGUAUAGCGCGCGAAGCACGGCUUAGUUUCCAGCAUUGUUGAAAGGUAUCUUAUCCUGAAUUCAAUAGGGAUAAGAAGCGAACGCAGGGAACUUGAAACAUCUAAGUACCUGCAGGAAAGGACAUCAACCGAGACUCCGCAAGUAGUGGCGAGCGAACGCGGACCAGGCCAGUGGCAAUGAGGAAUAAAGUGGAACGACUUGGAAAGGUCGGCCGUAGCGGGUGAUAGCCCCGUACACGUAGAACACUCAUUGUCCUUGAGUAAGGCGGGACACGUGAAAUCCUGUCUGAACGUGGGGAGACCACACU
rnacentral:rRNA from 1 species